CCGCAUGUGAUGUCCCUGUAGAAAGAGGUGGACACACGAAUUAUUCCUUUCCCGGGCACAACCGAAGCAUCUCCCGGCCGUAAGCCCCAUUACUUAUGCAAGAACACAUACUUGCUGUUGAUUACUUACUCUGCUGUGCAGAUCGCAGGAUCCUCUGGGCCGAACGCCGCAUGUGAUGUCCCUAUGAAAAGAGGUGGACACAAGAAUUAUUCCUUUCCCGGUCACAACCGAAGCAUCUCCCAGCCGUAAGCCCCAUUGCUUAUGCAAGAACACAUACUUGCUGUUGAUUACUUACUCUGCUGUGCAGAUCGCAGGAUCCUCUGGGCCGAAUGCUGUAUGUGAUGUCCCUGUAGAAAGAGGUGGACACGAGAAUUAUUCCUUUUCCCGGUCUCGACCGAAACAUCCACGAGCUCUACUUACCCGGAUACCCCCCCCUCACUCCGGGACGGGUGACAGACUAUCCUGGCUCUUGCUGGCCCCGUACAGGCACGAACUGCCGACGACUCCACGCCUUCCCGGCGUCCGAGGUCUGGCUCCGUUCUGGUCGGGAGACACGGAAGGAACACUGAACUUUUAAAUUGCUUUUAACCAAAUAAAACCUUGUUCAUUUUUUU